GACGAACGCUGGCGGCGUGCCUAAUACAUGCAAGUAGAACGCUGAAGGAGGAGCUUACUUCUCUGGAUGAGUUGCGAACGGGUGGGUAACGGGUAGGUAGCCUGCCUGGUAGCGGGGGAUAACUAUGGGAAACGAUAGCUAAUAACGCAUAAGAGUAGAGAUUGCAUGACAUUUACUUAAAAGGUGCAAUUGCACCACUAGCAGAUGGACCUGCGUUGUAUUAGCUAGUUGGUGGGGUAACGGCUUACCAAGGCGACGAUACCUAGCCGACCGGAGAGGGUGAUCGGCACACUGGGACUGAGACACGGCCCAGACUCCUACGGGAGGCAGCAGUAGGGAAUCUUCGGCAAUGGACGGAAGUCUGACCGAGCAACGCCGCGUGGGUGAAGAAGGUUUUCGGAUCGUAAAGCUCUGUUGUAAGAGAAGAACGAGUGUGAGAGUGGAAAGUUCACACUGUGACGGUAUCUUACCAGAAAGGGACGGCUAACUACGUGCCAGCCGCCGCCGUAA
rnacentral:rRNA from 1 species